UUGGCCACCCCUGGCGGAGCCGCACCUCGGACAGCAGCAGCGGCCGCAGCCGAGGGUCCUGCGUGGAGAGUGGGGCGCGACGCGGACUCGCGGACGGAGGCUGCGCUUCGGGACCCAGCACGCGAAGACCUAGCACGAGAGCGACUCGGGGCACGAACUUUCCACACGUACGGAAGACAUUUUAGAGAGUAAAAUGUGAAAGCGACUUGCCUGGUCUUCGGUCUCCAGGAAGCCGCCACACCCACUCGCGGGUCUUCAUUCCCUGGCCUGUUGCUGUAA